rnacentral:rRNA from 1 species
UACAGAGGGGGCAAGCGUUGUUCGGAUUCACUGGGCGUAAAGGGUGCGUAGGCGGUCGGGUAAGUCUGAUGUGAAAUCUCACAGCUUAACUGUGAAACUGCAUUGGAUACUAUCCGGCUUGAGGAAUGGAGGGGAGACUGGAAUACUUGGUGUAGCAGUGAAAUGCGUAGAUAUCAAGUGGAACACCAGUGGCGAAGGCGAGUCUCUGGACAUUUCCUGACGCUGAGGCACGAAAGCCAGGGGAGCAAACGGG